GUCCACGCUGUAAACGAUGACGACUGGGUGUUUCGGGUAUUGACUCCCGAGGUGCCGAAGCCAACGCGUUAAGUCGUCCGCCUGGGAAGUACGGCCGCAAGGCUAAAACUCAAAGGAAUUGACGGGGGCCCGCACAAGCGGUGGAGCAUGUGGUUUAAUUCGACGCAACGCGAAGAACCUUACCUGGACUCGAAAAUGCACGAAGUCGGCUGAAAAGGCUGAUGUGCUCGCAAGAGAGCGUGUAUCAGGUGCUGCAUGGCUGUCGU
rnacentral:rRNA from 1 species